UGCGCNCUUACCAUGCAAGUCGAACGCGAAAGUCCCUUCGGGGGCGAGUAGAGUGGCGGACGGGUGAGUAACGCGUAGGAAUCUGCCCAGUAGUGGGGGACAACCAGGAGAAAUCCUGGCUAAUACCGCAUACGCACUACGGUGGAAAGUGGGGGAUCUUCGGACCUCACGCUAUUGGAUGAGCCUAAGUCGGAUUAGCUUGUUGGUGAGGUAAAAGCUCACCAAGGCGACGAUCCGUAGCUGGUCUGAGAGGACGAUCAGCCACACUGGGACUGAGACACGGCCCAGACUCCUACGGGAGGCAGCAGUGGGGAAUAUUGGACAAUGGGGGCAACCCUGAUCCAGCAAUGCCGCGUGUGUGAAGAAGGCCUGCGGGUUGUAAAGCACUUUCAGUAGAGAAGAAAAGCCUAGGGUUAAUAACCCUGAGUCUUGACGUAACCUACAGAAGAAGCACCGGCUAACUCCGUGCCAGCAGCCGCGGUAAUACGGAGGGUGCGAGCGUUAAUCGGAAUUACUGGGCGUAAAGCGCGCGUAGGCGGUUUUGUCAGUCGGAUGUGAAAGCCCCGGGCUUAACCUGGGAACUGCAUUCGAUACUGGCAAACUAGAGUAUAGAAGAGGCAAGUGGAAUUCCGGGUGUAGCGGUGAAAUGCGUAGAUAUCCGGAGGAACAUCAGUGGCGAAGGCGACUUGCUGGUCUAAUACUGACGCUGAGGUGCGAAAGCGUGGGGAGCAAACGGGAUUAGAUACCCCGGUAGUCCACGCCGUAAACGAUGUCAACUAGCCGUUGGGGGUCUUAGUACCUUUAGUGGCGCAGCUAACGCAUUAAGUUGACCGCCUGGGGAGUACGGUC
rnacentral:rRNA from 1 species